rnacentral:rRNA from 1 species
UACGUAGGGAGCAAGCGUUGUUCGGAUUUACUGGGCGUAAAGGGCGCGUAGGCGGCAAAUUAAGUCAGCUGUGAAAUCUCCGAGCUUAACUCGGAACUGUCAGCUGAUACUGAUCUGCUAGAGUGCGGAAGGGGCAAUCGGGAAUUCUUGGUGUAGCGGUGAAAUGCGUAGAUAUCAAGAGGGAACACCUGAGGUGAAGACGGGUUGCUGGGCCGACACUGACGCUGAGUGCGCGAAAGCCAGGGGAGCAAACGGG